UACAGGGGUGGCAAGCGUUGUUCGGAAUUACUGGGCGUAAAGGGCGCGUAGGCGGUUCGUUAAGUCCUGUGUGAAAUCCCCCGGCUCAACCUGGGAACUGCAAUGGAAACUGGCGGGCUUGAAUGCGGCAGAGGGGGGUGGAAUUCCGCGUGUAGCAGUGAAAUGCGUAGAGAUGCGGAGGAACACCGAUGGAGAAGGCAGCCCCCUGGGCCGACAUUGACGCUCAGGCACGAAAGCGUGGGGAGCAAACAGG
rnacentral:rRNA from 1 species